UACGUAGGCAGCGAGCGUUGUUCGGAGUUACUGGGCGUAAAGGGCGCGUAGGCGGCUUGUCGCGUCGGAUGUGAAAGCCCGGGGCUUAACCCCGGGUCUGCAUUCGAUACGGGCAGGCUAGAGUUCGGUAGGGGAGAUCGGAAUUCCUGGUGUAGCGGUGAAAUGCGCAGAUAUCAGGAGGAACACCGGUGGCGAAGGCGGAUCUCUGGGCCGAUACUGACGCUGAGGAGCGAAAGCGUGGGGAGCGAACAGG
rnacentral:rRNA from 1 species